rnacentral:rRNA from 1 species
UCUUAAUCCAACAUCGAGGUCGCAAUCUGCUUUGUCGAUAUGAGCUCUCAAAAACAAUUACGCUGUUAUCCCUAAGGUAACUUAAUCUUAUGAUCAUAAAUUAUGGAUCAUUUAAACAUAAAUUAAUGAUUAAAUAAUGAAGAGUUUUUUUAUUCUUCAUGUCACCCCAACAAAACAUCAACAUUUAAUAUAAAAAGAUAAUAAAAGAAAUAUUAAAUUAAAAUGUAAAGCUCUAUAGGGUCUUCUCGUCCUAAAGAAAAAUUUAAGCCUUUUAACUUAAAAGUUAAAUUAUAAAAUUUAUUAAGAGACAGUUAAUUUCUCGUCAAACCAUUCAUUCCAGCCUCUAAUUAAGAAACUAAUGAUUAUGCUACCUUUGCACGGU